rnacentral:rRNA from 1 species
UACGGAGGAUCCGAGCGUUAUCCGGAAUUAUUGGGUUUAAAGGGUGCGUAGGCGGCCAUUUAAGUCAGCGGUGAAAUUUUGCAGCUUAACUGUAACAGUGCCAUUGAUACUGUUUGGCUAGGAUUUGGUUGUAGUGUGCGGAAUGUGUGGUGUAGCGGUGAAAUGCUUAGAUAUCACACAGAACACCGAUUGCGAAGGCAGCACACUAAGUCAUUAUUGAUGCUGAGGCACGAAAGUGUGGGGAUCAAACAGGAUUA